GUGCUCACUUCAGCAGUGCAUAUACUAAAAUUGGAAUGAUACAGAAAAGAUUAGCACAGCCCCUGCACA
rnacentral:snRNA from 10 species